CCUACGGGUGGCAGCAGUGAGGAAUAUUGGUCAAUGGGCGCGAGCCUGAACCAGCCAAGUAGCGUGAAGGAUGACUGCACUACGGGUUGUAAACUUCUUUUAUAAAGGAAUAAAGUGAGGCACGUGUGCCUUUUUGUAUGUACUUUAUGAAUAAGCAUCGGCUAACUCCGUGCCAGCAGCCGCGGUAAUACGGAGGAUCCGAGCGUUAUCCGGAUUUAUGGGGUUUAAAGGGUGCGUAGAUGGCUUGUUAAGUCAGCGGUAAAAGCUGGGGGCUAAACCCAGAAGAGCCAUUGAUACUGGCGGUCUGGAGUUGAGGUGAGGUACGCGGAAUGCGCGGUGUAGCGGUGAAAUGCUUAGAUAUCGCGAAGAACUCCGAUUGCGAAGGCAGCGUAC
rnacentral:rRNA from 1 species